AAUCCAUAGGUUAAUGAGGCGAACCGGGGGAACUGAAACAUCUAAGUACCCCGAGGAAAAGAAAUCAACCGAGAUUCCCCCAGUAGCGGCGAGCGAACGGGGAGGAGCCCAGAGCCUGAAUCAGCAUGUGUGUUAGUGGAAGCGUCUGGAAAGGCGCGCGAUACAGGGUGACAGCCCCGUACACAAAAGCGCAUGUGCUGUGAGCUCGAUGAGUAGGGCGGGACACGUGGUAUCCUGUCUGAAUAUGGGGGGACCAUCCUCCAAGGCUAAAUACUCCUGACUGACCGAUAGUGAACCAGUACCGUGAGGGAAAGGCGAAAAGAACCCCGGCGAGGGGAGUGAAAAAGAACCUGAAACCGUGUACGUACAAGCAGUGGGAGCACCCUUUGGGUGUGACUGCGUACCUUUUGUAUAAUGGGUCAGCGACUUAUAUUCUGUAGCAAGGUUAACCGAAUAGGGGAGCCGGAGGGAAACCGAGUCUUAACCGGGCGUUAAGUUGCAGGGUAUAGACCCGAAACCCGGUGAUCUAGCCAUGGGCAGGUUGAAGGUUGGGUAACACUAACUGGAGGACCGAACCGACUAAUGUUGAAAAAUUAGCGGAUGACCUGUGGCUGGGGGUGAAAGGCCAAUCAAACCGGGAGAUAGCUGGUUCUCCCCGAAAGCUAUUUAGGUAGCGCCUCGUGAAUUCAUCUCCGGGGGUAGAGCACUGUUUCGGCUAGGGGGCCAUCCCGGCUUACCAACCCGAUGCAAACUGCGAAUACCGGAGAAUGUUAUCACGGGAGACACACGGCGGGUGCUAACGUCCGUCGUGAAGAGGGAAACAACCCAGACCGCCAGCUAAGGUCCCAAAGUCAUGGUUAAGUGGGAAACGAUGUGGGAAGGCCCAGACAGCCAGGAUGUUGGCUUAGAAGCAGCCAUCAUUUAAAGAAAGCGUAAUAGCUCACUGGUCGAGUCGGCCUGCGCGGAAGAUGUAACGGGGCUAAACCAUGCACCGAAGCUGCGGCAGCGACACUGUGUGUUGUUGGGUAGGGGAGCGUUCUGUAAGCCUGUGAAGGUGUGUCGUGAGGCAUGCUGGAGGUAUCAGAAGUGCGAAUGCUGACAUAAGUAACGAUAAAGCGGGUGAAAAGCCCGCUCGCCGGAAGACCAAGGGUUCCUGUCCAACGUUAAUCGGGGCAGGGUGAGUCGACCCCUAAGGCGAGGCCGAAAGGCGUAGUCGAUGGGAAACGGGUUAAUAUUCCCGUACUUGGUGUUACUGCGAAGGGGGGACGGAGAAGGCUAUGUUGGCCGGGCGACGGUUGUCCCGGUUUAAGCGUGUAGGUGUGUGUUCCAGGUAAAUCCGGUUCACUUUAACACUGAGGCGUGACGACGAGGCACUACGGUGCUGAAGCAACAAAUGCCCUGCUUCCAGGAAAAGCCUCUAAGCAUCAGGUAACAUCAAAUCGUACCCCAAACCGACACAGGUGGUCAGGUAGAGAAUACCAAGGCGCUUGAGAGAACUCGGGUGAAGGAACUAGGCAAAAUGGUGCCGUAACUUCGGGAGAAGGCACGCUGACACGUAGGUGAAGUGAUUUACUCAUGGAGCUGAAGUCAGUCGAAGAUACCAGCUGGCUGCAACUGUUUAUUAAAAACACAGCACUGUGCAAACACGAAAGUGGACGUAUACGGUGUGACGCCUGCCCGGUGCCGGAAGGUUAAUUGAUGGGGUCAGCGCAAGCGAAGCUCCUGAUCGAAGCCCCGGUAAACGGCGGCCGUAACUAUAACGGUCCUAAGGUAGCGAAAUUCCUUGUCGGGUAAGUUCCGACCUGCACGAAUGGCGUAAUGAUGGCCAGGCUGUCUCCACCCGAGACUCAGUGAAAUUGAACUCGCUGUGAAGAUGCAGUGUACCCGCGGCAAGACGGAAAGACCCCGUGAACCUUUACUAUAGCUUGACACUGAACAUUGAGCCUUGAUGUGUAGGAUAGGUGGGAGGCUUUGAAGUGUGGACGCCAGUCUGCAUGGAGCCGACCUUGAAAUACCACCCUUUAAUGUUUGAUGUUCUAACGUGGACCCGUUACCCGGGUUGCGGACAGUGUCUGGUGGGUAGUUUGACUGGGGCGGUCUCCUCCUAAAGAGUAACGGAGGAGCACGAAGGUUGGCUAAUCCUGGUCGGACAUCAGGAGGUUAGUGCAAUGGCAUAAGCCAGCUUGACUGCGAGCGUGACGGCGCGAGCAGGUGCGAAAGCAGGUCAUAGUGAUCCGGUGGUUCUGAAUGGAAGGGCCAUCGCUCAACGGAUAAAAGGUACUCCGGGGAUAACAGGCUGAUACCGCCCAAGAGUUCAUAUCGACGGCGGUGUUUGGCACCUCGAUGUCGGCUCAUCACAUCCUGGGGCUGAAGUAGGUCCCAAGGGUAUGGCUGUUCGCCAUUUAAAGUGGUACGCGAGCUGGGUUUAGAACGUCGUGAGACAGUUCGGUCCCUAUCUGCCGUGGGCGCUGGAGAACUGAGGGGGGCUGCUCCUAGUACGAGAGGACCGGAGUGGACGCAUCACUGGUGUUCGGGUUGUCAUGCCAAUGGCACUGCCCGGUAGCUAAAUGCGGAAGAGAUAAGUGCUGAAAGCAUCUAAGCACGAAACUUGCCCCGAGAUGAGUUCUCCCUGAGACUUAGAGUCUCCUGAAGGAACGUUGAAGACGACGACGUUGAUAG
rnacentral:rRNA from 1 species